rnacentral:rRNA from 1 species
UACGUAGGGGGCAAGCGUUGUCCGGAAUUAUUGGGCGUAAAGAGCGCGUAGGCGGUCCGAUAAGUCGGCUGUGAAAGUCAGGGGCUCAACCCUUGGAAGCCGGCCGAUACUGUCGGACUAGAGUCCGGAAGAGGCGAGUGGAAUUCCCGGUGUAGCGGUGAAAUGCGCAGAUAUCGGGAGGAACACCAAUGGCGAAGGCAGCUCGCUGGGACGGUACUGACGCUGAGGUGCGAAAGCGUGGGGAGCAAACAGG